AACGAACGCUGGCGGCAGGCUUAACACAUGCGAGUCGAGCGCCUCGCAAGAGGAGCGGCAGACGGGUGAGUAACGCGUGGGAACGUACCCUUAUCUUCGGAAUAGCUCUGGGAAACUGGAAGUAAUACCGAAUGUGCCCUUAGGGGGAAAGAUUUAUCGGAUAAGGAUCGGCCCGCGUUGGAUUAGCUAGUUGGUGGGGUAAAGGCCUACCAAGGCGACGAUCCAUAGCUGGUCUGAGAGGAUGAUCAGCCACAUUGGGACUGAGACACGGCCCAAACUCCUACGGGAGGCAGCAGUGGGGAAUAUUGGACAAUGGGCGCAAGCCUGAUCCAGCCAUGCCGCGUGAGUGAUGAAGGCCUUAGGGUUGUAAAGCUCUUUCACCGGAGAAGAUAAUGACGGUAUCCGGAGAAGAAGCCCCGGCUAACUUCGUG
rnacentral:rRNA from 1 species